rnacentral:rRNA from 1 species
UCGAGAAUCUUCCGCAAUGGACGAAAGUCUGACGGAGCGACGCCGCGUGCGGGAUGAAGGCCUUCGGGUUGUAAACCGCUGUCAUAGGGGAGGAAAUUUUGACCGAUCCUAAGAGGAAGCACAGGCUAAGUUCGUGCCAGCAGCCGCGGUAAUACGAACUGUGCGAACGUUAUUCGGAAUCACUGGGCUUAAAGGGUGCGUAGGCGGCUACAAAGGUCAGAUGUGAAAUCCCACGGCUCAACCGUGGAACUGCGUCUGAAACCAUGUAGCUUGAGGAAGUCAGAGGUAAGCGGAACUGAUGGUGGAGCGGUGAAAUGCGUUGAUAUCAUCAGGAACACCGGUGGCGAAAGCGGCUUACUGGGACUUUUCUGACGCUGAGGCACGAAAGCUAGGGGAGCGAACG